GUAACUAUUUGGCCCAACAUAUCUCUGGCAUAUGCCUUCCUUUCCAUUCUUCAGGAUGGAUCAGACUUCCAGAGCUGUCCUUGUAUCAGUUAAAACACAAGUUUAACUGCUUUAACUGAAAGACUGAAUAAUAAUGAUUUAAACAACAUAGUUAUUUUUCUUUCAUGUAGAUAUCUCUGUGACUAGAUGUCCAGACAUCUCUGUGACUGCUCUAGUAUUGGCAGGUGGCUCCAUCGUCACUGGAACCCAGACACCUUUUAUCAAGCUGCAGCCCCUGUCUGGUGGCUCUGGAUGACUGCCCCAGCUAUGCCUUCUCAGGGAAUGCAGGGCCACUCCUUUUUAGGACAGAGAAGGCCAGCUUUUUGGAGCUGAAGCCAUUUCCAUUGCCCAAGGAAUUUCAGAAUUUUCUCUGACGUCAUCACAAGACAACUCUGAGGCUAGAGAUAAAAUAUUGAAGAAAGCGGAAUUUGAUUUCUUUGCAGCCAUCUCCUCCUCUCAUCCAUUCAUUCAUCUAUUCAGGAAACACAUGUUAUAUUUGUACCACAUUCUUGGCAUAGAGUUGAAGUCAUCCUACCACUUUUCCAGGAACUCAAAAUAAUAGUGAUACAGACCAAUAUGACAGCAAACAAUGCACA
rnacentral:lncRNA from 13 species